GAGAGAGAAAGAGAGAGAGACACGACUACCUCGGAGCCCGGAGCCAUGAUGCGGAGCUUUGCAUGCCUGCUUACAUCUCUCCCUAUCCCCUCAACCAGCCAUGGCAGCUGUGUCUGUAAAGAAAAUGCCAUAGUUCAUUAUUUUAUCUCGUUGAGUGUACUCUUGAUCCAAAUCACAAUGUUCCAAAUGAGAGCAGCGUGAGGAUCCAUGCCAUUUUGCCAUUCGAAACCAAUUUCUUCAAGUGUUGGACAAGCGAAGCACCACUCCUGCUUUUAUGUCUUCAGCCAUGCCAUCUUAUCAACAGCUUAAUUUCAAAGGGGGGAAGCAAUUAAAAUUGUAAUAACUCAUUUUAUUAAAAGAUGAUUGAAUCUC